rnacentral:lncRNA from 1 species
GCUUCUGUUUAUGUGUUAGUUUAACCUUUAUUUGGGUUUCAUGUUGUAAUGAUCUGCUUAUUUCUGCUUUCACUCUUGACCAGAUUCUAACUUCAGGUGACCCUUACUUACUCUUUUUUUUUUUUUUUUUAGAAUCUACCAGUGAAUAAAAACAUGGGAUUGUUUAAUCCUCUUAUAAAUGGCUACGUUCAGUAGGGGUCACACAGUGGUAACACGCCCAUUUGGGGAAAUUAAACUGAUUGUGAAAACAUGCUACAAUUUUUUUAAGCUAGUGCUUUUUAAAUAACUGAAAGUGAUAAUUUUAUAACUGAAUCAUGUAGAUCCAUUUUGAACAUUGUUUAUGGGAGGGUGAAAUGAUCUGGGCUCCAGUCCUCCCCUGUCUCAUUUACAGAGUGUGAAGAUUGGACUCCAUGACCUCCGUGUGCCCCACAACCCUGUAAUCCCGAGAUCUGCCUCUUUUCUGCUUCAUGAGUGUGACUGCAAUACAAGUAAGACAAAACCCUUCCGGACGUAGAGCUCCAUGUCUGGGACAUAAAUAAAGGGUCCCUUGAAAGGGAAUCGACAUAAGUUAAGCCUGCGCAUCUUUAAGUUUGUCCUUCCUUCGACCGGAUUCCUGUCCUUGCUCUUCCCACGGCGGGUCCGGCUUCUCUCCUACUGCAGGACUGCGGAUCAGAGCCAACUGUUUCUAUCGCUCUUACGACGUAUCUCGGAGGCUUGCACCAUGAUGGGUGUUUGUGGGCAAAAGGUAAGAAGGUCCAAAGACACACUCAGCUUUGCAGAAUGAAGAGACGCGGAGACGGAGUUAGGAGUAAGAAAAGGACAAAAAGAGGAAACAAAACAAAACAAAACAAAAAACAAGGCAGAGAAGCAAAGUCCAAAAAAAGAGAGACACUGAAAAUUAUUGGAAUGUUAAUUAUUUGGAGAUAUCUUCUUACAAGUUUGAUACCAAAGGAGUGCAGUUCUGUGAGAUGAAGAAUGUCUGUGAAAUAAUAGCUGAUACCUAACACUCCCAUCAAUUAGACACUCUUCUAACGUUAACACAUAUUAACCACUUUAAAGUAAAUCAAUUCUAUCAUCGAGGUCCUAUUAUUAUUCCUGCUUAACAGAUGAGGAACCAAAGUCUCAGAAAGGUAACGGACAACCACCAAAGUCCUGCAGCUAAACGUGGCAAGGCCAGGAUACAAAACUGGAGUUGUUGUUAGAGUACAUGGUCUAAAAGUUCUUCAUAAAAUAUAAAAAUACAAAUAUUGGUUAAGGUAAAUAAAUCUUUUUACUCCGUCCGUUCAAGCGUAGUAGCUUUGAG